GGGUGAGUAAGGUAUAGUUAAUCUGCCCUACACAAGAGGACAACAGUUGGAAACGACUGCUAAUACUCUAUACUCCUGCUUAACACAAGUUGAGUAGGGAAAGUUUUUCGGUGUAGGAUGAGACUAUAUAGUAUCAGCUAGUUGGUAAGGUAAUGGCUUACCAAGGCUAUGACGCUUAACUGGUCUGAGAGGAUGAUCAGUCACACUGGAACUGAGACACGGUCCAGACUCCUACGGGAGGCAGCAGUAGGGAAUAUUGCGCAAUGGGGGAAACCCUGACGCAGCAACGCCGCGUGGAGGAUGACACUUUUCGGAGCGUAAACUCCUUUUCUUAGGGAAGAAUUCUGACGGUACCUAAGGAAUAAGCACCGGCUAACUCCGUGCCAGCAGCCGCGGUAAUACGGAGGGUGCAAGCGUUACUCGGAAUCACUGGGCGUAAAGGGCGCGUAGGCGGAUUAUCAAGUCUCUUGUGAAAUCUAAUGGCUUAACCAUUAAACUGCUUGGGAAACUGAUAGUCUAGAGUGAGGGAGAGGCAGAUGGAAUUGGUGGUGUAGGGGUAAAAUCCGUAGAUAUCACCAAGAAUACCCAUUGCGAAGGCGAUCUGCUGGAACUCAACUGACGCUAAGGCGCGAAAGCGUGGGGAGCAAACAGGAUUAGAUACCCUGGUAGUCCACGCCCUAAACGAUGUACACUAGUUGUUGGGGUGCUAGUCAUCUCAGUAAUGCAGCUAACGCAUUAAGUGUACCGCCUGGGGAGUACGGUCGCAAGAUUAAAACUCAAAGGAAUAGACGGGGACCCGCACAAGCGGUGGAGCAUGUGGUUUAAUUCGAAGAUACGCGAAGAACCUUACCUGGGCUUGAUAUCCUAAGAACCUUUUAGAGAUAAGAGGGUGCUAGCUUGCUAGAACUUAGAGACAGGUGCUGCACGGCUGUCGUCAGCUCGUGUCGUGAGAUGUUGGGUUAAGUCCCGCAACGAGCGCAACCCACGUAUUUAGUUGCUAACGGUUCGGCCGAGCACUCUAAAUAGACUGCCUUCGUAAGGAGGAGGAAGGUGUGGACGACGUCAAGUCAUCAUGGCCCUUAUGCCCAGGGCGACACACGUGCUACAAUGGCAUAUACAAUGAGACGCAAUACCGCGAGGUGGAGCAAAUCUAUAAAAUAUGUCCCAGUUCGGAUUGUUCUCUGCAACUCGAGAGCAUGAAGCCGGAAUCGC
rnacentral:rRNA from 1 species